rnacentral:rRNA from 1 species
AGUGAACGCUGGCGGCGUGCUUAAUACAUGCAAGUCGAAGGAAGUGGCGCACGGGUGAGCAUUAUAUAGCUAAUCCGCCCCUCGCUGGAGGACAACAGUUAGAAAUGACUGCUAAUACUCCAUAGCAAGGGAUGAGACUAUAUCGUAUCAGCUAGUCGGUGGGGUAACGGCCUACCGAGGCUAUGACGCGUAACUGGUCUGAGAUGAUGAUCAGUCACAUUGUACCUGAGACACGGUCCGAGCUCCUUCGGGAGUCAGCGGUAGGGAGUAUUACGCAAUGGGGGAAACCCUGACACAGCAACGGCGCGUGGAGGAUGACACUUGACGGGGAGUAGAGUCAGUUUGUUAGGUAAGCGGUACCUGACGAAUAAGCACCGGCUAACUCCGUGCCAGCAGCCGCGGUAAUAC